rnacentral:rRNA from 1 species
UACGAAGGGGGCUAGCGUUGCUCGGAAUCACUGGGCGUAAAGCGCACGUAGGCGGACUCUUAAGUCAGGGGUGAAAUCCUGGAGCUCAACUCCAGAACUGCCCUUGAUACUGAGGAUCUCGAGUUCGGGAGAGGUGAGUGGAACUGCGAGUGUAGAGGUGAAAUUCGUAGAUAUUCGCAAGAACACCAGUGGCGAAGGCGGCUCACUGGCCCGAUACUGACGCUGAGGUGCGAAAGCGUGGGGAGCAAACAGGG